AGAGCGAACGCUGGCGGCAGGCCUAACACAUGCAAGUCGAACGGACCCUUCGGGGUUAGUGGCGGACGGGUGAGUAACACGUGGGAACGUGCCUUUAGGUUCGGAAUAGCUCCUGGAAACGGGUGGUAAUGCCGAAUGUGCCCUUCGGGGGAAAGAUUUAUCGCCUUUAGAGCGGCCCGCGUCUGAUUAGCUUGUUGGUGAGGUAAUGGCUCACCAAGGCUACGAUCAGUAGCUGGUCUGAGAGGAUGACCAGCCACAUUGGGACUGAGACACGGCCCAAACUCCUACGGGAGGCAGCAGUGGGGAAUCUUGCGCAAGUGGGCGAAAGCCUGACGCAGCCAUGCCGCGUGUAUGAUGAAGGU
rnacentral:rRNA from 1 species